AACGAACGCUGGCGGCAUGCCUAACACAUGCAAGUCGAACGAGACCUUCGGGUCUAGUGGCGCACGGGUGCGUAACGCGUGGGAACCUGCCCUUAGGUUCGGAAUAACUCCCCGACAGGGGUGCUAAUACCGGAUAAUGUCUUCGGACCAAAGAUUUAUCGCCUUUGGAUGGGCCCGCGUUGGAUUAGCUAGUUGGUAGGGUAAAAGCCUACCAAGGCGACGAUCCAUAGCUGGUCUGAGAGGAUGAUCAGCCACACUGGGACUGAGACACGGCCCAGACUCCUACGGGAGGCAGGAGUGGGGAAUAUUGGACAAUGGGCGAAAGGCUGAACCAGCAAGGCCGCGUGAGUGAUGAAGGCCUUAGGGUUGUAAAGCUGUUUUACCCGGGAUGAUAAUGACAGUACCGGGAGAAUAAGCUCCGGCUAACUCCGUG
rnacentral:rRNA from 1 species